rnacentral:rRNA from 1 species
GAUGAACGCUGGCGGCGUGCCUAAUACAUGCAAGUCGGACGGAGCGCUUCGGCGCUCAGUGGCGAACGGGUGAGUAGCACAUGGGCAACCUGCCCUUCAGAGGGGGACAACAGCUGGAAACGGCUGCUAAUACCGCAUAAGACCACAGCACCGCAUGGUGCAGGGGUAAAAACUCCGGUGGUAUGAGAUGGAUCCGCGUCUGAUUAGCUAGUUGGUAAGGUAACGGCUUACCAAGGCAACGAUCAGUAGCCGACCUGAGAGGGUGACCGGCCACAUUGGGACUGAGACACGGCCCAA